rnacentral:tRNA from 1 species
GGGGCUAUAGCUCAGUUGGUAGAGCGCUUGCAUGGCAUGCAAGAGGUCAGCGGUUCAAUUCCGCUUAGCUCCA